GAAGGGGCCUGGGAUUUGCAGGAAACUUCAGAGUAUCCUGGGAAUUUGUGGCAGUCUGGAGAGCUGGAUUUGGCCCAUUUGGUACUGAUGCCCUGUCCAGAUGGAUACCACUAGCACUGUCUUUUCCAUUAACUGAUCAGCACAAAGGAAAGGGAAUGGUUCAUCCUUGUGUUGUUGCUGCCAUCCCUCUCUGCUAUCCAGAGAUUGCUGUGAGCUCCUGGCUGUCAGAUUGAAUCUGCUGAUGUCAGAUCAGAAUCAAUUCUUCUGCUUUUUGCUCCAUGGAUGGUGGGAAGUGGGACUGCAACAUGGAAAAGGAGGUGACUGCCCAGUUUGAAUUGACUGAUGAUUUAAUGAUGACGAUGACAAAACAAUAUUAUAUAGUAAAAUGUCUAUAUUGGGAAUGUAACUUUUUGCAGAUUUGAACAUUUGUGGAUUUGAUAUGGCCUCUUUAAGAAUCUGUAGGUACUCCAGAAGAACUCUGUGGUAAACCUCUGGUGGAAAUUGGCCUGCAGAUGAUAUCACAACACCAUGAGUCAGGAGUGUUACUAAGGGGAUAAUGGGAUAGAAAUUCCCUCCCCAAAAUGAUUCUUCCCCUUUGGUACUUAAAAUCCUAGAAUUACAGUAAGUUAAGGUUUUGUUUGAAACAUUUAGAAUUUCAGCUUACUUUUUCAUCUAAAGAAAAGGAGCAAGCAAAGUUACUGAGGGGAUGUGAACACCACAAAUAUAAGAGUUCUGUGAAUGAUUUCCAAGCUUCCUGAAAUGCUAUCUCCUAAACCACUCUUCAUGAUAUUUUGGUACUAAAUUCGUAAAUACAGUAAUUACUACAUUGAACUACUUUUUCUGUAAAAUUUGUUGUAUAACAUGAUGUUUUGGUGCUUAAUUUGUAAAAUCAUAACCUAAUUUGAUGUUUAAUAGGCUUUUCCUUAAUCCCUCCUUAUUAUCCAACAUAAAUGGGCCAGCAGAAUGUUGGAUAAGCAAAAUGUUGGAUUAUAAGGAGGGAUUAAGAAAAAACCUAUUAAACUUCAAAUUACAUUAUGAUUUUACAAAUUAAGCACCAAAACAUCAUGUUUUACUACAAAUGGUCAGAAAAUGCAGUUCAAUACAUGGUAACAUUAUGUAGUGAUUAAUGCAUUUAUGAAUUUAGCACCAAAACAUCGCAAUAUAUUGAAAACAUUGACUACAAAAACAUUGAUUACUAAAAGGCAGAUUGUGUUGGAUAAUACAGAACGUUGGAUGAGUGAAGGUUGGAUAAGUGAGACUCUACUGCACUAACAAAUAAAUCCACAAAGGAUCAGUUUUUUCAAAAUCUGGGAAUGAAAUUAUGUAUGCAAAUGCCAAUGAUGAAAGAUUUCCUGCACUUCAUUCCCUGGCUCCCCUGUCUUUACUUUAGUGACAACCUGCUUCCAAGCUGAAGGAAACAGACCAAUAGUUGUAUGGUGACAAUUUUCUAGUGAAAUUGCAAAAUAAUGCUGGAUUCAAUUUGUGCAAAUUGCCACACACUUUAGUAGCUGUUGAGCUGUUGAAACAAUAUUUACAGUUUUAUUUAUUGUAAUUUAAGAACUGUGAGGAAUGUUUGCCAGUAUUACACCCCCCCCCCCAAAAAAAACACAAAAAAUUCAAAGAUGCAAUUGAUACCUAGCUUUACAAUGUACAUAAGUCUCUAGAGAGAUUUUUCGAAUCUGUUUUAAAUUACGGACUUGGGAAAAAACAAAUAAAAAAGAAUAAAAGGUAGUUGUUGAAAGUUAAAUUGUCUUCAACUCAUAUCUGUAAACCAGAUUCUCAUUUUUAUUUAACUGUUGCCUUUUCAUUCAGAAACUCAUUUCUUUACCAAAUCUGUUUUGCUUUCUCUCUCCCUUUCAAUCUUUCUUUAAAUAAAAGAGACAUUUUGUUUCUCCAUCCUCCCCUCCCAUUGUUGCAGCUGCUUCUCCUGAUGGUGUUCUCCUCCUGCUUGCCAGGGAAAUGUUUCCCAUCUAUUUGCAUUGCAUUUUAUUGAUAUUAUCCUUCUCUUCAUCCAUCCAUGAACUUUGAAAAUCUUAACAAAGAACCUAACAGGAAUUGCCCACAUCAAUGUAUGUAUAUUAUCCCAUCAUUUAAAUUUCUAGAAAUACAAACUAAUUUAAUAUCCGUUUCUUCUUUCACUCUCUGCUAGGAGAAAAAGAAAUAUGAGAGUUGUGAGCAAAAUUCAUUAUUUAUAAGCAGCCAGGCUUUGAAGCUGCAAGGCUAUUCAAUGCUUAUCAAGGUGGCUAAUUAAAAACAUUCACACUUGCUUCAAACAAACAAGAGUUCUUUCUCCCACCCUAGACAUCAUUCCACAGAUAUAUAAACCCCACUUGCCUAGUUUCUAAC
rnacentral:lncRNA from 1 species